rnacentral:rRNA from 1 species
ACUCCUACGGGAGGCAGCAGUGGGGAAUAUUGCACAAUGGGGGAAACCCUGAUGCAGCCAUGCCGCGUGUGUGAAGAAGGCCUUCGGGUUGUAAAGCACUUUCAGUUGUGAGGAAAGGUUGGUAGUUAAUACCUGUCAGCUGUGACGUUAACAACAGAAGAAGCACCGGCUAACUCCGUGCCAGCAGCCGCGGUAAUACGGAGGGUGCGAGCGUUAAUCGGAAUUACUGGGCGUAAAGCGCACGCAGGCGGCUUGUUAAGCUAGAGGUGAAAGCCCCGCGCUCAACGUGGGAACUGCCUUUAGAACUGGCAGGCUAGAGUCUUGGAGAGGGGAGUGGAAUUCCAGGUGUAGCGGUGAAAUGCGUAGAUAUCUGGAGGAACAUCAGUGGCGAAGGCGGCUCCCUGGCCAAAGACUGACGCUCAUGUGCGAAAGUGUGGGUAGCGAACAGGAUUAGAUACCCUGGUAGGACAGUG